rnacentral:lncRNA from 1 species
AGAGUAAGAAGUCAACUACAUACCUUGGAGGGUCUCAAAAUCUUUAUUAAUAGGGAAAGUGUUAACCUUGGAUUGAUUUUGAUGAUAACAAAAGUAUUUGAGUAUAAAUUAUUAAGUCUCUAACAUUGUUUAAAAGGAUGUGUAGUUUUAAGUUUCAAGAAGCUCAUAAUUUUCAAGUGUUUUUCAACAUUCAGAUGAAGAAUCACCACCCA